UUCCUUGUGGCUCAGCAGGUAGAGCACCUGCCUGCAAUGCAGGAGACCUGGGUUGGAUCCCUGGGUUGGGAA
rnacentral:tRNA from 1 species